GUAUAUGGCCAUACCACCCUGAACAUGCCCAAUCUCAUCUGAUCUCAGAAGCUAAGCAGGGUCGGGCCUGGUUAGUACUUGAAUGAGAGAAGUAUACCUCAGAGCAUGUGCA
rnacentral:rRNA from 1 species